CAAGGCUUGUCAAUGGACUGUUGAGAGGUAGAUGGUUUUCAUCUCAGUGGGUCCUCUAGUUCUUCGUUUUAUGCUUUAUUCUAUUUGAGAAACAAAGAUUUGAGACUUGUACUUAUUUAUGAAUUCCACUCUUUAUAUACUAGUGGCUUGUACACGUGACAACCAUGUUUUGGAGUGUUAAUAGAAUGAACAACUUUUUUUUCUUUUAUCUUGUUUUUUCUUGAUUUUCCACAUUACUUUCAUUUUUGUUGGGUUAAGGCUUACUUGUCUUGGUGAGAAUAGACAAGGGUCAUCACAUCCAUUUCUGGGUCAUAACAAAUGGUAUCAG
rnacentral:lncRNA from 1 species